ACAUUGAAUGAUGUACAAAGAUGGUCUUCCAAACCCGUCUUUGUAUUUUCACUUUUUUUCGUUUUCUCUCUCUUAUCACACAGUUGUUACUAUUUUUUCUUGAUAUUCUCACUUUCUUUCUCUCUCUCUCUCUCGCUUUCUCUCUCUUCUGGGGUAGCGCACUGGUCGUGCUCCUUCAGCUAAACUUCUUCGUUGCGGCACUGAGUGAGGUGGUUCACUCUCUCUACCUCUUUCUCUUCUCUGUUCCUAGAAACAAACCAUCAUUUUCUUAGAUCUAUACCAACGACGAAUGAAAUAAUCUCUUGCCAAAAGCAAAACCCUAAACACUUCCUCCGAGUAUUUACCAGAACCAUAGUUUUUAAAAGCUGACAGCAUCGAAGGCACAGCUGUCGCGUGGGAAGGUCCCAAUGUGUGCUAGAAAUUAUAAAGAUCAUUGACACCAUUGCCGAAGAAGGGGUCUGUGACCUCACUCGCGUCCCUCUUCCCACAUUUCAACUUUCACGUUCAUUAACUUGGUAGUGGGUGUUUAGGUUCCGUUUGGGAAAGCAGCGUUCUUCCCAGGUUGUUUGAUUCACACCAAUGAGUACCUGGUUCUUUUGGGAGAAGGAUAUUAUGCUGAGAGAACUUCGAAGCAAACCGUUGAGAUUUUACAGCAAAGAAGGAAGUCCUUGGAUUCGCGGGUUGAUUCUCUUGAGGCCAAUAUCAAGGAUCCUCAAGCAGAGGCUUCAUUUCUCAAUGCCACGACUUCAUUUUUGGUUGCUAGGUUCUUUUGGGAGAAGGGGAAGGGAACAAAGUGAAAUAGUAGAGAGAUGGCAGGUGUACUCCUUCACCAGAUGUGCCAAGUUUUAUAGUAAUUUAUGGAUGAGUAGACAACCAGGUGAGUGCACACUUUUAUUUAUUCUUUUGUGGUAGGAUUUGAGGACAAGACUCAAUAUAACUACUCGUUGAAUCACUGGCUGAUUGAAAAAGAAAGAUAAGAAAUCUUAGCCAUAUAUAUUAAGAUUAAGUGAUUUCUAUGAUAUUAAUUAAUUAGGUAAAAGGAAAAUGGGUGUAGAUAUUUUCAACUCUUAAAAAGCUUCACGAAUCUCACAGCUAUUGGUGCAGCAGUUUUUGCAUAUUGAGGUAGAGAACCACUUCAAGCAUGUUCAUUUGCUACUCCAAAUGCAUUUGUACCUACUUGGAAAAAUUCUGUAGACCCAAGAAGGAAGGAUUAUGGUAGGACUACCAUCUGUGGAGAACAAGGAAAAGAUUUUGAGGAAUCUUUUGGCAAAAGAAAAGGUGGACAACGAAGUUGAGUUUAAGGAACUUGCAACUAUGACAGAAGGAUAUACUGGAAGUGAUCUAAAAACUUGUGCACAAAUGCUACUUAUCGACCUGUUAGAGAGCUAAUUCAACAAGAGAGGCUAAAGAGUCUGUUGUAUGAGAAGGGCACUUGGUGUGGUGGGUCUUCCUAAUCCAUUGAAGAGAAAUUAUUAAAAUAUGAAGUCUGCUCUUAUCUAAAUCACCCUUAUUUAUCCAGAUUAAGACAACGUUUAGUAGAAUAUAGGAAGCUGCAAAGUUCCCUCUUUUGAGGCAGAGUCAAUUCAUCAAUUAGAAGUUGGUGAAAGAAUGGAAGCCACAUAGCAGAACAAUUCAAAGGUGGUGUUGAUUGAUUCUUUGCAGUCAUGGGAGUUCCACGUCAACCAAGCCUAUAAUCAGAAUACUCCUGUAAGACACUCAUUUUAUGCCAAAGUUUGGAUCUUUUUUAUUUUUUAAACCCUGGUCUGGAAAGAGUGUGCAAAAGGGGCAUUUAUGCUUCAAGUUAUUUACAAAAUCCAUUUUUGACUAUGAUUAUGUAUUUUUGGUUUUCAAUGUUUGUUUUAAUUUAUCUUCUUGUUCUUCCUUGUGGAUAUGGUAUAUUAACUUAUGGCUUAUGUAUUUUGUGGGAUCGAUGGAUCAAUAUGGGUUGCUGAUAUAUAUUAUUUUUAAUUAUUUA